GAUGAAGAACGCAGCGAAAUGCGAUAAGUAAUGUGAAUUGCAGAAUUCAGUGAAUCAUCGAAUCUUUGAACGCACAUUGCGCCCGCCAGUAUUCUGGCGGGCAUGCCUGUUCGAGCGUCAUUUCAACCAUCAAGCCCCCGGCUUGUGUUGGGGACCUGCGGCUGCCGCAGGCCCUGAAAACCAGUGGCGGGCUCGCUAGUCACUCCGAGCGUAGUAAUACAUCUCGCUCAGGGCGUGCUGCGGGUUCCGGCCGUUAAAAAGCCUUAUUUACCCGAGGUUGACCUCGGAUCAGGUAGGAAGACACGCUGAACUUAAGCAUAUCAAUAAGCGGAGGA
rnacentral:misc_RNA from 1 species